rnacentral:rRNA from 1 species
ACGGCUCAGUAACACGUGGACAACCUACCCUUGGGUCCGGCAUAAUCCUGGGAAACUGGGAAUAAUUCCGGAUAGGUCACCGAUGCUGGAAUGCGCGGUGGCCGAAAGCUCCGGCGCCCGAGGAUGGGUCUGCGGCCUAUCAGGGUUGUAGUGGGUGUAACGUACCUACUAGCCUACGACGGGUACGGGUUGUGAGAGCAAGAGCCCGGAGAUGGAUUCUGAGACACGAAUCCAGGCCCUACGGGGUGCAGCAGGCGCGAAAACUUUACAAUGCGGGAAACCGUGAUAAGGGGAUCUCGAGUGCCAGCAUAUAAUGUUGGCUGUCCAGAUGCCUAAAAAGCAUCUGUUAGCAAGGGCCGGGCAAGACCGGUGCCAGCCGCCGCGGUAACACCGGCGGCCCGAGUGGUAACCGCUAUUAUUGGGUCUAAAGGGUCUGUAGCCGGCCAGGUAAGUCCCUUGGGAAAUCUGGCAGCUCAACUGUCAGGCUGCUAGGGGAUACUGUUUGGCUUGGGACCGGGAGAGGUGAGAGGUACCUGGGGGGUAGGGGGUUGAAAUCUUGUGAUCCUCACGGGACCACCACUGGCGAAGGCGUCUCACCAGAACGGGUCCGACGGUAAGGGACGAAUGCUAGGGGCACGAACCGGAUUAUAUACCCGGGUAGUCCUAGCCGUAAACGAUGCUCGCUAGGUGUCAGUCACGGUGCGACCGUGAUUGGUGCCGUAGGGAAGCCGUGAAGCGAGCCACCUGGGAAGUAUGGCCGCAAGGCUGAAACUUAAAGGAAUUGGCGGGGGAGCAC